rnacentral:misc_RNA from 1 species
UCUCCGUAGGUGAACCUGCGGAGGGAUCAUUACAGAGUCCGCGCCCUUGCGGGUAGAUCUCCCACCCUGUGUUAUUGGUACCUUUGUUGCUUCGGCGGGCCGCCCUCGGCUACCGGCCCCGGCUGGUACUUGCCCGCCAGAAGACCCCAAACCCUGAACGUCAGUAUCGUCUGAGUACUAUACAAUAGUUAAAACUUUCAACAACGGAUCUCUUGGUUCUG